UACAGAGGUCUCAAGCGUUGUUCGGAUUCAUUGGGCGUAAAGGGUGCGUAGGUGGCGCCGUAAGUCGGGUGUGAAAUUUCGGAGCUUAACUCCGAAACUGCAUUCGAUACUGCGGUGCUUGAGGACUGGAGAGGAGACUGGAAUUCAUGGUGUAGCAGUGAAAUGCGUAGAUAUCGAGAGGAACACCUGCGGCGAAGGCGGGUUGCUGGGCUGACACUGACGCUGAGGCGCGAAAGCCAGGGAGCGAACGGG
rnacentral:rRNA from 1 species